CACGUAGGCACCAAGCGUUGUCCGGAUUUAUUGGGCGUAAAGAGCUCGUAGGCGGUUCAGUAAGUCGGGUGUGAAAACUCUGGGCUUAACCCAGAGCCGCCACCCGAUACUGCUGUGACUUGAGUUCGGUAGGGGAGCAGGGAAUUCCUAGUGUAGCGGUGAAAUGCGCAGAUAUUAGGAGGAACACCGGUGGCGAAGGCGCUGCCCUGGACCGAUACUGACGCUGAGACGCGAAAGCGUGGGGAGCAAACAGG
rnacentral:rRNA from 1 species